ensembl:snoRNA
UGCAGCUGCGUCAAAUUCGGUCCUUGUCCAGCCCUGCGCUGGGGACCGGCCAAACAGCUGCCACAGCAACAACCCCUGUAGCUCAUGGGCCCCACUGUUGUUCUCCCUCAACCCUGGGGAUAAAUAAAUGCUGCAGACAUUG